AAUAAACAAACCAUGGUUUUUGUGUUUAAUGUUUGACCGUCUGUCUUAUUUAAAAAAAUUAUGAAAAAAAAAUUAAAAGACAAGUCACGUAUAAAGUAUUAAUCAUAUUUUAUCAUCUAACAACAAUGAAAAUACUAAUUAUAAAAAAUUUCAUAUAAGACAGAUAGUCAAACGUUGGACACGAAAACCCAGGUUUUGUCUUCUU
rfam:Oryza sativa Japonica Group DNA, chromosome 1, cultivar: Nipponbare, complete sequence.